rnacentral:misc_RNA from 1 species
GGUUCGAUCCUGGCUCAGAUUGAACGCUGGCGGGAUGCUUUACAUGCAAGUCGAACGGCAGCAUGGACUUCGGUCUGGUGGCGAGUGGCGAACAGGUGAGUAAUGUAUCGGAACGUGCCUAGUAGCGGGGGAUAACUACGCGAAAGCGUAGCUAAUACCGCAUACGCCCUUCGGGGAAAGCGGGGGACCUUCCCGGGCCUCUCGCACUAUUAGAGCGGCCCGAUAUCGGAUUAGCUAGUUGGUGGGGUAACGGCUCACCAAGGCGACGAUCCGUAGCUGGUUUGAGAGGACGACUCAGCACUGGGACUGGGGCCGCAGCCCGGGCUCACCACAGGAGGCAGCAGUGGGAAUUUUGGACAAUGGGGAAACCCUGAUCCAGCCAUCCCGCGUGUGCGAUGAAGGCCUUCGGGUUGUAAAGCACUUUUGGCAGGAAAGAAACGGCACGGGAUCACCCCGUGCGUUGCUCUCACCAAAGACCUUUUACAGCCCGAGACUCGUCGCACACGCGGGAAUAACUGGGUCAGGGUUUCCCCCAUUGUCCCACCUGCCUCCAUGGGAGUCUGGAGCCGUCGUCUCGGUCAGUGUGGCUGAUCUCCUCUCUCCAAACCAGCUACGGAUCAUUUGGCCCCACCAACUAACUAAUCCGAUAUCGGCCUAUAGUGCGAGGCCCGGAUCCCCCUUCCCCCGAGGGCGUAUGUGGCUGUUAGCUACGCUUUCGCGAGGUGCGCCUCCCCCCGCCCCACCACAGAGCGCGUUCGAUACGACCCCGGGUCCUGCUCGCCGCACCAACAGGGAGUCCAUGCUGCCGUUCGACUUGCAUGUGUAAAGCAUCCGCCAGCAGUCUGGCCAGGAUCGAACCCUCUGUGACACGGUCUUUCCGGCAAUACAUGGCUUA